AUAUUGUCUCUUGUACUUUUCCACAAUCACAACACUCAGCAAUAUACAAAGACAUACCAAACAAAAAGGAUCCAUAUAUUUGUGUGACAGGUGACCAUUGGGGACAUCACUGUAGUACCUGGAAAGCAGCGGGUUGGAAUACGGGCCGACCAUGGGGCUACAGACCACAAAGUGCUUUAGAUAGGGUUGACAGAUAUGGGAAUCCCUUGUUAUACAGAAUGACCUUAUGCAAGCCAACAGGGUCUACCCCAAUGAAGCUCACCUUAAACAUAGAACAUCCCACCCCAGGAGACGCUGGGGAGUACGUAAUGGGAAUGUUUUGGAAAGGGGGUGGCUCACAUAACAAGUUGGGGACCUUCUAUUUACAAGACAUGCUUAUGUCACCUGACUGGGUAGACUCCACACACAUGACCAUUAACCCUCUAAAACCACACAUUAAAACCCUUAAAGACAUGGUGGCCAUUGCCAAUCCUACAUUUGAAGACACUAUGGCUGUGGAGACCGGGUUUUCAGAUACUAAUCUAUGGCUUGAAUGGAUGAGGUAUAAUGCUAGUUCACACAACAAAACUAACUGUUAUAUUUGUGGUGGGGCCAGACCCCAUCUGAGUACAGUGCCUCUAAAUCUUAUUCCAGUUGAGAUGUGUUUCUUAAGCCUCUAUGCGGAGUCAGCAGUGAAUUCAUCAGUGUGUGAAUCAUGGAAAAAGGUUUACCCAAUAACCCAAGGGAAUACCAGGCCACCGUGUACCCAGGUAACUACAUUUGCUACACAAUACAUGGAGCCACAGGUAAAUUUGUACUUAAAUUCCCUUCUGGCUACUGUGCCAUGUAUCGAGAACCUCCCACUGCCCUAUUAGUAAAUCAAGUUAAGUCCGUGGGAGACAUUUAC